rnacentral:lncRNA from 1 species
GGUGUAGAGGCUAACUACUCGGAACGAUAUCGACGGUGAAACUACCAAACCACGUAUCUCGUUUGCGGUGUUUAAAACUCUACGCUCGCAUUUUAUUUUUUUAAAGUAGACCAAAUCAAUAUCAUUCCUUGAAAUUUUCACAGAAUUUUCUCCGCAUGAAGAGGAAAAAUCACAGAAAUUUUCAAGACUAGACGUUAAGUAGUUUUUCAUUUAAAAAAUAAAGUAUGACAGGAAGUCUGCAACGUCGCAAACCGAGAUACGUGGUUUGGUAGUUUCACCGUCGAUAUGCUAGCGUUCAUUGUUGUUGCGGCGGCGAUUAGAGGAUUAGACUACCUGGACGAACAUUCAGUCAGCGCAGCGCGCCUUCAUAGUAUCAAACGCAACACACUCAUCCUUCAUGCGCGAAUAGUCGCAUCCUAGUGUUGUUGGCCGCUCCGGCAGCUGUUGGCCUAAUUGACGGCUGAAAUGAUUGAUCCAGUUUCGAUUGUCUGGAAAACAAAUUCAAAGGGCGAACAUGCAACGUUUGCAAAUUCUCGUCAACUCAUGUCUACGCAUUUCACGUGGUAUAAAGAAGCUCUCUACAUGAGCUUGGUUUCACCUCUUUUCUAUCGUUACCUACUUGCUCUAGCUGAAGAGUCAACGUGCUUUAUUUGUUCAGUUGCUGCGCACACUUGGAUGAUGCGUGAGCUCUAAUUUGUGAUGUUAUUGCUCUCAGGAUCGCAAAGCAUGGUGCGGAAUUGAUUUCACAAUCCGAUAAUCUUCAAAAAUUAUAACCGGUGACCCUAUCAACUCAUAAAACUGCGCUUUUUUGUCUGAAUAAUAAGGUUUGAUUUCGAGACUCACAUUGCAGCCCACCAUUAGUCUUCUCAACUGGCAUUGAAAAACCACAAGGUCAAGAGGUAACGUUGAGAAAUAAUCACAAAUUCGACAAAAGAAAAAAUCACCAAUCACCUUCGGUAGCACUUACGGAGUUUGUGGAGACAGAGGUUGUAUUAGGUAUGCAUCGCCAGGUUCCGUUGGAUUCAAAACUCAAGAUCCUCCUCGCAAGAACAAACAGCUCUCGACAGUCUUCCCUCGUUCACAAUGGCGUGAGAUGCUCAGAUGUCAACGAUAUUUCAUAGGCAGAAAAUGGAAUAAAACUCUCACGACAGUGGAAGAAUGACUUGUGAACAGAGAUGACAUCGGUGAUAAUUAAAUGAUAAAUGCCAUGUCGAGUCCCUCCGCAAAUAGACCUUUCUCCUCAUAGUAGCGGAGUGUGCGACUGCAUUUAAAAACAUGGAAACCAGGACUUCAUUUCCGCUCUGUUCCCUCCACACAAAGCGCAUUGCGGCUUCGGUGUAUUUAACUGAUCGACUGAGCGUUAUUUCAAAAAUAUUAGUGAAACAAUCUCCGGUCCUCAAGUUCUAACCCUGAGGCUGUUCGGAGGUGAAACCUGCAUACCUAAAACACGCCGUUGAGUGCCUCCACCCCGAAUCCUGUUCUUCAAAAUGCAAACUCUUUUUGGAGGGAAUUAAUCCCAAAGUCAUCGCAAAUUACGGGCUCGCUUUGCAGUUACAAAACAUAAGAGAUCAAAAUGGUAGUGCAGAUAGGAACGAAAUCCGUUUUAUGUAUCAAUGUCAAAAUUGCAAAUUGUUCAAUUUAGAUGUUUCCCUUUUCAAUUUAAACCCAAUUAAGUAGUCUCAAGGCUAUUCUGCUCCGCCACCAGUAAUAUUCAUUGCUGAGAAUUGUCUGUGAUAUUAUUUAUUUUACUCUACAACCGUGGCUCAAAUAUCGUGUCUUAAGUCAUUUUUUAUGUAUACCUAGAGUAUUUAGUCUCUGUCGAGAAUUAUUUCUGUUCUUGCAAUUUACUCUUGUUUUAGUCUCUGUUACUGAGAGCCAAUUUUUCCCCGCAAAAAAUUACAUUAUUUUCUCUUAACUUUGUUAUUGCCGAUUCAUCCAUAAAAUAGGAGUUUCAAACAUACAGCCGCUUUAAAAAUUGAGCGCUAAUAUUUUAAUCCGUACCGCAUCGUUAAUACAUUUUCCUCCGGAAAAUUUGAAAAUU